rnacentral:lncRNA from 10 species
AUUUUAUUAGGUGUUAUAAGUAAUCUAGAGAUGAUGUAAAAGUUAUGUGCAAAUACUGUGCCAUUUUAUAUAAGGGACUUAGAGCAUCCCUGAAUUUUGGUAUCUGCAGGGAUCUUGGAACUAAUCCCCAGUGGAUACUGAGGGACAACUGUGUGUAUUUUCACAAGGCUUUGUCGUUUCUCGGAGCUUUCACUGAUGAAUAAAAUCUAGGUGAUCUCAACUCAGGGGUAAAAGUCAUUUUUGGCUGCUUUCUUUGUGGGUUUUUCUUACAUAGAGCAUGAAAGAAAAAACUCACCGAAUCUAUCCAAGUCUAGGAUUAAAUUAUUUCUGUCUUUCGGGCUGAAGAUGGAUUUGAUGCUGAUGACUAAAGAUAGCCAGUUGCCCCUUGUUACAGGUGGGUCCUCACAAAUUUGGCCAGUAGAAAGCUGCAGUGGAGACACUGUUAAGACUGCAAGAAUAUCAGUUCCUCAUGUCACAGUCAGCUGCUCUGGUCCAUGCACCUCUGCCAACUUCCAGUGGCUAAUAAGCUUUUGGCCCAGUGAUGGAAGCAAUGGUGCCAAUGACAAAUAUAAACAAGGUCCUCUGCCAGGAGCAAAAGCUGAAAUCUUUCUGGUAAUUGCAGCCUGACAUGUGCAUGGCCCCAGGAUCGUGUGCCAUCUCCA